rnacentral:rRNA from 1 species
UACAGAGGUCUCGAGCGUUGUUCGGAUUCAUUGGGCGUAAAGGGUGCGUAGGUGGCUAGGUAAGUCGGAUGUGAAAUCUCGGGGCUCAACCCCGAAACUGCAUUCGAUACUGCCUGGCUAGAGUACUGGAGAGGAGAUUGGAAUUUACGGUGUAGCAGUGAAAUGCGUAGAUAUCGUAAGGAACACCAGUGGCGAAGGCGAGUCUCUGGACAUUUCCUGACGCUGAGGCACGAAAGCCAGGGGAGCAAACGGG